AGCGAACGCUGGCGGCAGGCCUAACACAUGCAAGUCGAACGGAUCCUUCGGGAUUAGUGGCGGACGGGUGAGUAACACGUGGGAACGUGCCCUUUGGUUCGGAACAACUCAGGGAAACUUGAGCUAAUACCGGAUGUGCCCUUCGGGGAAAGAUUUAUCGCCAUUGGAGCGGCCCGCGUCUGAUUAGCUAGUUGGUGAGGUAAAGGCUCACCAAGGCGACGAUCAGUAGCUGGUCUGAGAGGAUGAUCAGCCACAUUGGGACUGAGACACGGCCCAAACUCCUACGGGAGGCAGCAGUGGGGAAUCUUGCGCAAUGGGCGAAAGCCUGACGCAGCCAUGCCGCGUGAAUGAUGAAGGUCUUAGGAUUGUAAAAUUCUUUCACCGGGGACGAUAAUGACGGUACCCGGAGAAGAAGCCCCGGCUAACUUCGUGCCAGCAGCCGCGGUAAU
rnacentral:rRNA from 1 species